CCGCGGUAAUUCCAGCUCUCAAAAUGCAUAGAAUUAUUGCUGCGGUUAAAAAGCUCGUAGUUGGAUCUGUGCCGGCAGACUGGUCCAUCUUCGGAUGCGUACUGGCUCAUGCCGGCUUUCCUGCAGUUUUGCGGCUCAGUGCCUCUCACGGGGUGCAGUGUCCGUUGCUGCAAGUUUACUUUGAACAAAUCAGAGUGCUCUAAACAGGCGUUUCGCUUGAAUGUUCGUGCAUGGAAUAAUAGAAGAGGAUUUCGGUUCUAUUUUAUUGGUUUUAUAGACUGAGAUAAUGGUUAACAGAGACAAACGGGGGCAUUCGUAUUGCUACGUGAGAGGUGAAAUUCUUGGACCGUAGCAAGACGAACUACAGCGAAAGCAUUUGCCAAGAAUGUCUUCAUUAAUCAAGAACGAAAGUCAGAGGUUCGAAGGCGAUCAGAUACCGCCCUAGUUCUAACCGUAAA
rnacentral:rRNA from 1 species